rnacentral:rRNA from 1 species
AGAGUUUGAUCCUGGCUCAGAACGAACGCUGGCGGCGGGCCUAACACAUGCAAGUCGAGCGGAUGAGAAGAGCUUGCUCUUCGAUUCAGCGGCGGACGGGUGAGUAAUGCCUAGGAAUCUGCCUGAUAGUGGGGGACAACGUUUCGAAAGGAACGCUAAUACCGCAUACGUCCUACGGGAGAAAGCAGGGGACCUUCGGGCCUUGCGCUAUCAGAUGAGCCUAGGUCGGAUUAGCUAGUUGGUGAGGUAAUGGCUCACCAAGGCGACGAUCCGUAACUGGUCUGAGAGGAUGAUCAGUCACACUGGAACUGAGACACGGUCCAGACUCCUACGGGAGGCAGCAGUGGGGAAUAUUGGACAAUGGGCGAAAGCCUGAUCCAGCCAUGCCGCGUGUGUGAAGAAGGUCUUCGGAUUGUAAAGCACUUUAAGUUGGGAGGAAGGGCAGUAAGCGAAUACCUUGCUGUUUUGACGUUACCGACAGAAUAAGCACCGGCUAACUCUGUGCCAGCCGCCGCGGUAAUAC